rnacentral:tRNA from 1 species
UUCCUGGUGGCUCAAAGGUUAAAGCGUCUGCCUGCAAUGCAGGAGACCCCAGUUCAAUCCCUGGGUUGGGAA